GAUGAACGCUGGCGGCGUGCCUAAUACAUGCAAGUCGAGCGAACAGACGAGGAGCUUGCUCCUCUGACGUUAGCGGCGGACGGGUGAGUAACACGUGGAUAACCUACCUAUAAGACUGGGAUAACUUCGGGAAACCGGAGCUAAUACCGGAUAAUAUAUUGAACCGCAUGGUUCAAUAGUGAAAGACGGUUUUGCUGUCACUUAUAGAUGUAUCCGCGCCGCAUUAGCUAGUUGGUAAGGUAACGGCUUACCAAGGCAACGAUGCGUAGCCGACCUGAGAGGGUGAUCGGCCACACUGGAACUGAGACACGGCCCAGACUCCUACGGGAGGCAGCAGUAGGGAAUCUUCCGCAAUGGGCGAAAGCUUGACGGAGCAACGCCGCGUGAGUGAUGAAGGUCUUCGGAUCGUAAAACUCUGUUAUUAGGGAAGAACAAAUGUGUAAGUAACUAUGCACGUCUUGACGGUACCUAAUCAGAAAGCCACGGCUAACUACGUG
rnacentral:rRNA from 1 species